rnacentral:rRNA from 1 species
UACGUAGGGUGCAAGCGUUGUCCGGAUUUACUGGGUUUAAAGGGUGCGUAGGCGGUUUGUUAAGUCGUCGAUGAAAUGUCGGGGCUCAACCUCGGCCUUGUAUGGGAUACUGGCAGGCUCGAGUGAGCAUGAGGCAGCUAGAAUGAGUGGUGUAGCGGUGAAAUGCGAAGAGAUCACUCAGAAUACCAAUUGCGAAGGCAGGUUGCUGGGGAUUCGUUGACUAUGAGGCACGAAAGCGUGGGGAGCAAACAGG